rnacentral:lncRNA from 1 species
GCCAGAGCCGCGGCAGAGGCAGAGGAGGGAGCUAGGAGGUGAGACCCGCUCCACCCUGCUCGCCUAGGCUCGGCGGAGGCUAAGAGCAGGGCAGCCUCCUCUGCCCGGCGCCCGCUGAGCCCCGGCAUCUGGAACUCAGGGCCCUGGCGCUCCAGGGGCGGGAACUGGCCGGGAGGACCGCGCGGGAGAGCACGGAUGGGCACCCUGGGCUCGAUCUUCUCACCUGGGGCGGGUGGGUUCUGCACCACCCUCCCACCCUCCUUCCUCCGUGUGGACGAUAGAGCCACAUCCAGCACCACGGACAGCUCCCGGGCGCACUGGAAGCUGAGGGUUUUGACAGCGGCAGGCCACAUAGGCAAGGAAGCUGGUGCAUGCAGUGUCUCUGGGCAAGGUUAUGCAAACCAAAAAGAAGAAUGUACUUCAUCUGGUUGGGCUGGAUUCCCUCUGAUAAGCCUUCCCAGUUGACUGAAAGAUGAGGCUAGGCUCUAGCAAGUUGAAGUCAAACCAGCUCCUUCAAGAAGCUUUGAGCAGAAUGAAGUGGGGAGGACCCAGCUUCCAGCCCAGGAAGCCCACUGUACCUGGAGCCAUCUGGGAUAAGACUUUGACCCAUGACUCCCAUAUCCACAGCCUGUCCAUCCUAGCCCAUCCCAGUUUAUCCUGUAUCAUUUGAGCUGGGAUUCCCACAUCCUCUGAGUUGGAAGUCCCAUCUCAAGUCUUCAAUAAAGACUCUUGAAUAUUGAAUCACA